UGUUAAUGUCCAAGUUGUCAUUACAUCGACAGGUUGUAUUGUCUUGUUUAAUGUCAAGUGGUCAUAACACAGAGAUUCUUGUCUUUGUUAUUUUCAUGUUGUC